GACGAACGCUGGCGGCGUGCUUAACACAUGCCAGUCGAACGGAAAGGCCCUGCUUUUGUGGGGUGUUCGAGUGGCGAACGGGUGAGUCACACGUGCGUAACCUGCCCUUGACUUUGGGAUAACUUCAGGAAACUGGGGCUAAUAACGGCUAGGAGCUCCUGCUGCAUGGCGGGGGUUGGAAAGUUUCGGCGGUUGGGGAUGGACUCGCGGCUUAUCAGCUUGUUGGUGGGGUAGUGGCUUACCAAGGCUUUGACGGGUAGCCGGCCUGAGAGGGUGACCGGCCACAUUGGGACUAAGGGACGGCCCAGAAGCCAACGGGAGGCAGCAGUGGGGAGUAUUGCAGAGUGAGCGGAAGCCAGAGGCAGCAACGCCGCGUGCGGGAUGACGGCCUUCUGGUUGUAAACCGCAUGCGCAGUUGACGAAGCGUGAUUGACGGUAAUGAAUAAAGAAGCACCGGCUAACUACGUG
rnacentral:rRNA from 1 species